GGUUUACCUUUUGUUCUGUUUUGCUUUGUUUUAAGAUGUCAAGCCUUUUUUUGUAUGGAGAGUGAAAAGUCUUGUUGGGAUGGUGAUGUGGCUGUGACUGAUACUGCCGUGAUCUCGCACACAUGAGCCAAAGCCUUGGGAUGGUUUUGAUGAGAAAAUUGGGUGAAGGUUGGGGAGCGAGACCCGAGGUGCAGGAACACAGGCAUGAACUUAACCAAUUUCCUGGAAUUUUCAAAAGAAUUUACUAGAAAAGGCAACAAAACAAGCCAAUAACCUCACAAACCAUUAGGUACUCAGGGUUUCUGGAAGGACAGCUCUAAAUGCACAGUCUAUAUCCAAUUUGCACUGUCAUCUUGGAAUGGGAAGAACAUUGGAAUGACAAGUUAGAUUGAAAAGCUGUUAAAAGCCAGAAAAAUAAUGAGUGUCUAAUCCAUAAAUGGAAAACUGUCAGUCCCUUAUGUCUUUCUAAGACUUGGCUUCAUGGUAAUUCAAGCACAACUCCUGAGUUUUCAACCAGCCCUUAAUUGCAAAGGAAAUA
rnacentral:lncRNA from 1 species